GUUGUUGUUUUGGUUUCGUUUUUGUGUUAGUCUUCGGAGAAACUGUAGGUACUCUCUGCAUUCAAGGUUUUGAGGAUGGGCCUUUCUCUGAGGUGCUCGUGGCAACUAAGAUGGGGACUCCAGUUUUUCGAAAAUGUGGCAACUACACAAAUUUCCAGGUUUGGAAGCUUGGAAUCGGUGUUUCCUCAUCAGAGAUCUCCCGGUUAAAUGGCUAAAAUGUGUG
rnacentral:lncRNA from 1 species